GGGCCCAUAGCUCAGCGGUUAGAGCAAGGGACUCAUAAUCUCUUGGUCGCAGGUUCAAUUCCUGCUGGGCCCA
rnacentral:tRNA from 1 species